ACGCACGUUAUGGUGGGCGACUCUAAGGAGGACUGCCGGUGACAAACCGGAGGAAGGUGGGGAUGACGUCAAGUCAUCAUGGCCCUUACGGCCUGGGCUACACACGUGCUACAAUGGUCGGUACAAAGGGUUGCCAAGCCGCGAGGUGGAGCUAAUCCCAUAAAACCGAUCGUAGUCCGGAUCGCAGUCUGCAACUCGACUGCGUGAAGUCGGAAUCGCUAGUAAUCGUGAAUCAGAAUGUCACGGUGAAUACGUUCCCGGGCCUU
rnacentral:rRNA from 1 species